GAUGAACGCUAGCGGCAGGCCUAACACAUGCAAGUCGAGGGGCAGCACAGAAACAGCAAUGUUUUGGUGGCGACCGGCGGACGGGUGCGUAACGCGUAUGCAACCUACCUUUAACAGGGGGAUAACGGAGAGAAAUUUCCACUAAUACCCCAUAACAUCGAUCAAGGCAUCUUGAUUGGUUGAAAACUCCGGUGGUUAAAGAUGGGCAUGCGUUGUAUUAGGUAGUUGGUGAGGUAAUGGCUCACCAAGCCUACGAUACAUAGGGGGACUGGGAGGUUAGCCCCCCAAACUGGUACUGGUACACGGACCAGACUCCUACGGGAGGCAGCAGUGAGGAAUAUUGGUCAAUGGGGGCAAACCUGAACCAGCCAUGCCGCGUGCAGGAAGACGGCUCUAUGAGUUGUAAACUGCUUUUAAACAGGGAUAAAGCACAGUAUGUAUACUGUGUUGAAGGUACUGUAAGAAUAAGGAUCGGCUAACUCCGUGCCAGCAGCCGCAGUAA
rnacentral:rRNA from 1 species